rnacentral:rRNA from 1 species
UACGGAGGGUGCGAGCGUUGUCCGGAAUCAUUGGGCGUAAAGGGCGCGUAGGUGGCCCGGUCAGUCUUUGGUGAAAGCGCGGGGCUCAACCCUGCGUCGGCCAGGGAUACUGCCGCGGCUCGAGCACUGUAGAGGCAGGCGGAAUUCCGGGUGUAGCGGUGGAAUGCGUAGAGAUCCGGAGGAACACCAGAGGCGAAGGCGGCCUACUGGGUCAGUACUGACGCUGAGCCGCGAAAGCCAGGGGAGCGAACGGG